GAGAAAUUAAAUAUCAAUCAUUUUGAAAUUUUAAACCUAAAAUAAAAGGCUCUAGUGACACCUUACAUCAACACUUACAUAAAUCGAUAAAUCGAUAUGAACUGGAAUCCUUAUUUAACAUAACGGUUAAGCUACAGCGACACCUGAGACUGUGUGAUCAAUCUAAAUUCAAUCUCAGGAUAUAUCGAAGCUAUGCAAGAAACGUCAAUUCGAUCCAUCGACAAGGGAACCCUAACCUAUAGUGCGUGUCGAUAUAAUUGGAUAAGCUUGCCGAGCGUUUCGAAUUUCAUCUUUUCCAUUCCGUGGCGGCUUAAACUCGUGGGAUUUCAGCGGCGGAGGCAGUGUAAAACUGUAUGGGGGAUUCGACUAUCGAAAAUCGUUUGGGUAACGUUAAUCCUCAGUUGCGUUCGCCUUAAUCACCGCGCUCCAGCCAACAUAUUUCUAAACUUUAUAUCGUUCUAAUGGUUCCACGGUUGGCCAUAAAUAAUUGGUUAUUGUGGUAUAAAUAACAAAUAUGGAGGUUUGAAUACGUAUAUCGAUGCAUCGAAAAGAUUAUAUAUCAUCGAUUCAGGGAGUAUUAUAGAUAAUAAACACUUAAUUGAACUUAUCGAAUGCUUUAUAUUCGAAUAAAAAUUUUUAAUGACUAAAAAAAUAUUCUAAUUAAAAUUGUUUCUUUUACAAAGUUUGGACGAUGUUCUUCAUCAAUGAACGAAUGAAUUAAGAGUGAUGAGGAUUUUGAAAAUACUUUUGUAUGGACUGUACAAAAAUGUCAAACAGGAAAGACACAGUAUGGCUACAAAGCACUCAUAGGGUACUCUAAGAGAUGUAUGAGAUGAAGGAAUGGAGGGACACAGAAAAGGGGAGGAAGAGAUAAAGAGAGGUAAUCCGUGGUUAUACGACGAGACACAGUUGGCAAUGGCACAUUUGACGCAGGAAAAAAUCCUGCUAUAUCCUGGGAAAGUAGUGAUCAGACUACUUCACCAUUAUUCACAUGAUUCCACAAAAGGAACGUAUAGCUCUUCUAAUCUUAUAAAAUAUAUAUAUCAAUUAUAACAACUCUUCGUAAUUAUAGUAAAAUAUAUCCAAUUUCAGAUUUCAAUGGACAAUUAACGGAAUGUUCCGCCAGCAUUCUAACCUACAAUACACAUUACUGCCAAUAUACCAGGAGCCCUGAAUUACUUGAAUUUCCCAAACAUGUCCCAAACAUCUAUUCUUUCCCUUCAGAAUCAUUCCCUAACCCCACCCAUUCCCCCUCCAAUUUUCUCAUUCUCCUUUCCUACUUCAAUUUCCCCUACCACUUUUUCGAAGCCAAAAGCUUCCAUAACCUCUGGGUAAUUCCUUCAAACAACAAUAAUGUAGAUGCCGAAUCUCGAGCGAAAAAUCGAAGAGGGAGGAUUGAGAGGGGUGGCUCUCAGCGGCGAGUAUGAUGUACUGCGCUAAUAACCGAACCCACCGGGCCGGCUGUGGCAGAUCCUAACGAUGUUUUAAGCCGUAAUUAAUUUACUGACCGACCCCUUACCUACGGGUACCAGCCGGUGUACCCUUAAAUUCCGAUGGUCGGCGUAACCACAACCAAACGCGUUCUCCAUCUCUCUUUUACUCUUCAUCUUCGAUGUAUCGAUUUGUGAACAUAUGAGCUGAAUGAAGCACGAAGCAUAUCGCUGCACGAUGAUCAUCGUAUCGCUAUCUCUUUUACUCUGUCUGAGAAAUCGCUGCUUGCGCGGUUAAUAUCUAAAUAGCGAUCAGUUUCGACAGGUAUUCGAGAGAGAGUGUGGGCGUGAAGGUUAGCCGCGAGCCUUUUUCUGAUCCAGGCAAACGCGGCUUUUCUCACGGGACUCGGUGAGUUUGCAUCGCGUGCAUCACUGCCAGCCACCGGCGGCGCUGCUCCGCCGUUAUCGCCAGUAAUUUGAACAGUCGAGAGUAUAAUCCGUGAGCUAUAUAUGAGCAGAUUAUACAUGGGUGAUGAUAGAGACUGGAUUUUUGCUGGUUAGAAGCUUAGUUUUGUUUUGGCGUUGAGGUUAAGGUAAAUGGAUGAUACGUCAUAAGGGAGCAAUGUAUAUAGCAUGAGAGUUUGGACCAUUGACAAUGAAAUUAUGAUAUAUAUACAAUGUAUAUGGAAGCAAAUAAAGAAUGUAAACAAAUAAAUCCAGAACGUAACCGAAACUUUAAAUAUUCACACUGUAGGAAAAUACAUCAAAACUCUGACCAUACAAGAUCAGAAUAUAAAUGAAUGGACCAUAAACAAAAUGUAUGUAUAAACAGAAAGUAAACAAUUAAAAUCGAAAAUGUAAACAAAACAGGUUCAAUAGUAAAUAAACAGAAAACAGUAAAUAAUCAAAUUAACGAUGUAAUAAAAUUAGGAAAUGAGUGCAAAAUAAAAAUGUUAAUACUCGCUUAAUCCAAAUCACAUCUCAACACUCGCUCUACUACCUACUUAAUUCUUCACAACAAAUCAACGAACCAUUUAACCUUAUAAAAACUGAUCAAGCAAUUUCUUCCUCGUCAUGACUCAAGCAAACUGUGCAAGAAACUGAAAACUACUACCAAUUUACCCAAUCAACAAACAACUCUCCGCUACUUUUACAUCCUCGAGGUAUCAAUCAUUUCAGAGCAACCAAAAAAAUACCUGCCCUCAUCCAGCAGGCCAGACGAUCACGCCAUCCAACGCCAUAUUAAUCCCCAGGUAGUGACACCUAGGAAUUACCUAGAUGAACAAUCACGAAGUGGUGCAGUUGCGCGAGUCGCAGAAACGUUGCCAAUUCGUCUAUUCCAUCGAUUGGUCCAUGGAAAGAGAGAGAUAUAGAAAGACUGUUGACCGGUCAGAGCACAGGGUGAUAGGGGAGAGGGAAGCGGGCGCCGAGACGCCAGACGCCGGCGGAUGCCGGGCGCCGCGUGUCCUAGACUCGCGACGGGACAACGACCGCGAUGUUUGCCGAGUGAAAUGCGAGAAAAAGGAAUGCGACGACGAGUCGUGUCUCAACGAAACUGCUCAAAAAACGAGGACGAGUCGGUGAAAGAGGCGGGCGGGGGGGGGGGGGGAAUAGCGGCGGUAAGUAAUGCGUAGUUGAGAAGAAUCAGACGGAAAAGCGUGAAAGAGGGAAAAAGGGGAAGAAAGAAACGGUCGGCCAUAAGCGAGAUUAAUGCGCCACUUUUAUUUAAAUUCGAGAGUGCAGAUGGCGUGGUGUGCAAGGAUGAAUGGAGGAAAGUGAUAACACAAGCUCAACGUACAGGAGAAUUUAUAGAUUGGAAGACGUUUUAAGCGCAAUUCGUGCAAUGAAAAUAGAUGCAAGCAUGUAGUAAAAGCGAAAGUAACAGUAUUCCUAGGAGUACAGUGAAGUUGGACAGAUGAUGUGUUUCUUAGGACGAGGCUGUGGUAUCCAAUGGGCUAUUUGAGAUACCUUAAGCGUGUUAUAGACCAGAUAGAAAGCUUAUCUUUAUUUAUGUACAUAGAUUAUUCGCACUUGGUAUCGUUAAUGUGAACAAAUUAUAACCUCACUGUACAUAUUUCGUACUUACGGGUUUUAUUAAACCAUAUAUAGGUAUACUUUCAAAAAAGUAAUAAAAAAGAAAUUAUCAACUUCCUUAAACAGUUCGGGAUAAAUAAUAAUCAAGCAAUUAGACGUAUUUUUUUCUUAUGAUAUACAAUUUCUAUUAAGUUAAAUAUUUCUGCAUAAAUAUAAAGAUUAUUAAAAAUUUAUCUCGACCUAGAAAGAAACUUGAGCAGACAAAAUGGCGUACGAUAUCGUGAUAAUACUGAAUAAUGCCGAGCAUGCAUUAAACGAUGCUUGAUGGAUCUUUUAUUGGGAGAUAAAAUUUCAAUUUAGAAACCAGCCUCAAAGAACCAAAUAAAACUUAGAUUCAUUAAGACAGGUGGUUCGUAAUUUUUUGGCUGCUGGUAAACUCGAAAGAUAACGUUUCAUGGAACCAGUUAUCUCGCCUAGUUCGUGAUAUCAGGUGCAUUUGUGGUGCUCUCGAUUACUCACGGCACUCGAUGUUGUUCUUGUACGCACUCCUAAAGAAAGACUCGAGAUAACCUAACGAACGGAUCGAGUUCUCUCAGCGUUAAUGGCGAACGGACGAUCGCAAUUUCUAUGAAAUUCCAUGACUUUAUAUAUGUAUAUCACGAUCCUAGCGACUGAAGAAAUUGGACAAAAUUCUUUCAAGAUUAUUUAAGUACAGAUUAUAUUAUCGUUACACUAUUGUAUUUUUAAUUAAUAUGUACGUUUUGACAUUGUAAUCUAUUACUAAUAAGAUUGUUUAGUUAGCGUGAUUAAAGCAAUAUUUCACCUCCA